CAGUAGCGGCGAGCGAAGCGGGAAAAGCCCGGGAUGAAAAUCUCCUCGGAGAGUUGUAUUCCGAGUGCUCCCAGGGUGGUCAGUGCGGGCAAGUCGUCUGGGAUGACGCGCCACGGAGGGUGAGAGCCCCGUCCAACCCGCACAGGAUCCAUCCGUACAGGAGCGCUUCAACCGAGUCGGGUAGUUUGGGAAUGCUGCUCUAACAUUGGUGGUAAAUCUCAUCAAAGGCUAAAUAAAAGUGGGAGACCGAUAGCGAACAAGUACCGUGAGGGAAAGAUGGAAAGAACUUUGAAAAGAGAGUGAAAAGCACUUGAAACCGUCACGGGGGAAGCGAAUUGCGUUAGUGAUGUUCUGGCCUGUUCAGCUAUUUGUCGAGAAAUGAAAUACCUUUUUCGCCAACAGUGUAUUCUGGCAAGAACGUGCUUGUGUGGCUGGCGGGAGUGUGAUGAGACAGUGAGUAGCCAGCUCAUGGUCAUGAAUACUUUUUUGUUUUUAUGGCUGUGAGGUGUCCGUUCUACUGACCCUCGACACUCUAUUAUGAAACGCUGGUGAGGGCUCCCUCUUCCAUGAGGUUUUUGAGGACAUGAGCAAAAUGACGCAAUACGACCCGUCUUGAAACACGGACCAAGGAGUCUAGCACGGCUGCGAGUCGAAAGGUGAUUACGAAACCUAUUGGGCGCAGUGAAAGCAAAUCCAGGAAAAAUUUCACUUUUUCCUGAACAAAGCAAAUUGGGGAGGCGUUGCGGUUUCUACCAAAAUGUCCUACCUUGAGCAUCUGUGCUGGGACCCGAAAGAUGGUGAACUAUGCCGGAGUAGGGCAAAGCCAGAGGAAACUCUGGUGGAGGCUCGUAGCGAUGCUGACGUGCAAAUCGCUCGUCGAACUUGGGUAUAGGGGCGAAAGACUAAUCGAACCAUCUAGUAGCUGGUUCCCUCCGAAGUUUCUCUCAGGAUAGCGGGCCGACAAAAAAUUUUCUAUAUUGUUGUUUUGUGUGGUAGAGCGAAUGAUUAGUGCAUUUGGGGGCCGAAGGCCUUCGGGCGAUUCUCAAACUUCAAAUACGCAAGGGGGCCGCUGCUUCACUGUGGGUGCGCAAAGUUGGGGGUUCUUCCUCCUCUUGGCCGCUCGCAAGUAUGAGCGUGCUCUUCGAAAAACGUCGGCUCCGUGGGCCAUUUUUGGUAAGCAGAACUGGCGAUAAGGGAUGAACCUUAAGCGCGGUUAAGGCGCCGCAUUGCCCGCUUAUAGACCCCACAAAAGGUGUUGAUUCAUUUAGACAGCAGGACGGUGGCCAUGGAAGUCGGAAUCCGCUAAGGAGUGUGUAACAACUCACCUGCCGAAUGAAUUAGCCCUGAAAAUGGAUGGCGCUGAAGCGGGCAGCCGACACCGCGCCGUUCAGGCGAUUUCAAACAAAAAAAAUAUAUGUCUGAAUGAGUAGGAGGGCGUGGCGGUCCGUGACGCAGGCGAGGGUGCAAACCCCGCUGAAACGGCCGCUAGUGCAGAUCUUGGUGGUAGUAGCAAAUAUUCAAGCGAGAUCCUUGAAGGGCGAAGCGGGGAAGGGUUCCAUGCUAACAUUGAUUGGGCGUGGGUGAGUCGUUCCUAAGCCGAGUGGCAAUUGCUAAGUAGCGGCGAAAGGGAAGCGGGUUAAAAUUCCUGCACACAGAUAUGGAGGCGGCAACGCAAGCAGAGGCGAAGACGCUGGCGAAGGCGCUGGGCAGAGUUGUCUUUUCUGUUUGACCGACAUGGCGCUGUGUGGAAUCCGAUUAUCGGGAGAAACACGCGCAAGUAUUCAAAACCUACGGGCAGAGCGUCGGGUUAUAUCCGGCGUCCGGCUCGCCUUCGACGGCCCUUGAAAAUUCGCCCGCGGCUUUGGGCCGACGCUUUUUUUCCUUUUUUCUUCUUGGGUCUCCGUUCUUUUUCUCUCUCUCUCUCUCUUGUUUCGUUUUGCGGAGCGGGGGGGGGGAGGUUUUGAAAACGGGGCGGUGGUCUGGGGGGUUAAAAAAAAUUAGUGCUUGACCCAAUUUUAAAUUUCAUGCUGUGACGUACCGAUAACCGCAUCAGUCCCCAAGGNGAACAGCCUCUGCNCAAUAUGAAUAAUGCAGGUAAGGGAAGUCGGCAAAAUGGACCCGUAACUUUGGGAAAAGGGUUGGCUCUAGUGGGGUGGGGGUAUUUUUUUAUAAAAUACUCAGGCGGGCCAAUUUUCGGAUUGGUUCGCUUGAGAGGGGGCUUUCGUGUGCCUACUUGAGGCCAGUCUGUCUGGUUAGGGGGUUUUGCUUGGUCUAGUUCCUUGUCUUCCGGGGGAUUGAAAGGGCUUUCUUUUUUCUUCUUUCCUGUCACCAGUUUUUUUUCUUUUUCUUUUCGGCGAUGUGGGGGGGGAGGGAGAAUUUUUUUUCUUUUCCCUCGCAUUUGUCGGGAGGUUUGAGGAGGGGCUGGCUCUGGGGGAAGCCGAGAGAAAGGGGAGUCAUUUGGUUUCUUUGGUUUAGAUUGUGGGGGUUAGAUCAAGUACCUUGGCCGGGACCAGCCACGAGUCAGGUAUGUGGGAUGCUUUUUCCCGCCCUCAGCAUACCCCAGACUAGAACUGCAACGGGCAAAGGGAAUCCGACUGUUUAANUAAAACAAAGCAUUGCGAAGGCCGUGGCCGGUGUUGACGCAAUGUGAUUUCUGCUCAGUGCUCUGAAUGUCAAAGUGAAGAAAUUCAAUCAAGCGCGGGUAAACAGCGGGAGUAACUAUGACUCUCUUAAGGUAGCCAAAUGCCUCGUCAUCUAAUUAGUGACGCGCAUGAAUGGAUUAACGAGAUUCCUACUGUCCCUAUCUGCUUCUAGCGAAACCACAGCCGAGGGAACGGGCUCGGCGGAAUCGGCGGGGAAAGAAGACCCUGUUGAGCUUGACUCUAUUCUAAUUUUGUGAAGCAAGUUAGGAGGUGUAGAAUAGGUGGGAGCUAGUCGUACGGGGGUGCUCUCGGGUGGUCCUUGGCUAGCGUCCGUGAAAUACCACUACUCUUAAUCUUGCUUUACUUAGGGCGUAAAACUGUGCCGGGGGGUUUCCCCCUUGUAUUUUUUUUGUGUUCUGUCCGCUUGCUUUUUCGUUCAUAAAAUUAUGGGCGGGGAAGGGGGUGUGCGCAGGGGCAAAAAUCAAGGUGGGGCCUUUUGAAACAAUACUUUUUUGCAUUGCAUCAAGCGCGCGCUUCGUUUACUCGAGGUGUGCGUGAACAGAGCGCCCAACAGAUUUAGGAGGGGAGUUUGGCUGGGGCGGCACAUCUUCUACAAGACAACGAAGGUGUCCAAAGAUAAGCUCAGUGAGAACAGAAAUCUCACGUAGCGCAAAAGGGUAAAAGCUUGUUUGAUUUUGAUUUUCAGUGUGAGUUGAAAACGCGAAAGCGUGGCCUAUCGAUCCUUUCACGAUUCGAGAUUUGAAGCGAGAGGUGUCAGAAAAGUUACCACAGGGAUAACUGGCUUGUGGCGGCCAAGCGUCAUAGCGA
rnacentral:rRNA from 1 species